rnacentral:rRNA from 1 species
UGGGGAAUCUUGGACAAUGGGGGCAACCCUGAUCCAGCCAUGCCGCGUGAGUGAUGAAGGCCUUAGGGUCGUAAAGCUCUUUCAACGGUGAAGAUGAUGACGGUAGCCGUAGAAGAAGCCCCGGCUAACUUCGUGCCAGCAGCCGCGGUAAUACGAAGGGGGCAAGCGUUGUUCGGAAUUACUGGGCGUAAAGGGCGUGUAGGCGGUCUAAUCAGUCAGAGGUGAAAGCCCUGGGCUCAACCCAGGAAUUGCCUUUGAUACUGUUAGACUAGAGUUCGGGAGAGGGUAGUGGAAUUCCCAGUGUAGAGGUGAAAUUCGUAGAUAUUGGGAAGAACACCAGUGGCGAAGGCGGCUAUCUGGACCGAUACUGACGCUGAGGCGCGAAAGCGUGGGGAGCAAACGAGGAUUAGAUACCCUGGUAGUCCACGCCGUAAACGAUGUCUGCUAGUCGUUGGGGGCGUAGCCCUUCAGUGACGCCGCUAACGCAUUAAGCAUUCCGCCUGGGAGUACGGUCGCAA